rnacentral:rRNA from 1 species
GACAGAGGUGCCAAGCGUUAGGCGGAAUCACUGGGCUUAAAGCGUGUGUAGGCGGGUCGUUAAGUGUCUUGUGAAAUCCCCCGGCUCAACCGGGGAAUGGCUGGGCAUACUGGCGAUCUUGAGCAGUCUAGGGGCAGAUGGAACAGACGGUGGAGCGGUGAAAUGCGUAGAUAUCGUCUGGAACGCCAAAGGUGAAAACAGUCUGCUGGGGACUUGCUGACGCUGAGACACGAAAGCCAAGGGAGCGAACGGG